rnacentral:rRNA from 1 species
GACGAACGCUGGCGGCGUGCCUAAUACAUGCAAGUCGAACGCAGUGGGGACGGGUGAGUAACACGUGGGUAACCUCCCAUCAGAGGGGAUAACACUUGGAAACAGGUGCUAAACCGAUACUGAUGGAUGGACCCGCGGUGCAUUAGCUAGUUGGUGAGGUAACGGCUCACCAAGGCCACGAUGCAUAGGCGACCUGAGAGGGGUGGCGGCCAAACUGGGACCGAGACACGGCCCAGAACCCUAAGGGAGGCAGCAGUAGGGAAUCGUCGGCAAUGGGCGAAAGGCUGACCGAGCAACGCCGCGGGAGGGAAGAAGGUUUUCGGAUCGUAAAACUCCGUUGGUAGAGAAGCGGUAUCUAACCAGAAAGCCACGGCUAACUACGGGCCAGCAGCCGCGGUAAUAC